rnacentral:rRNA from 1 species
UGCCAGCAGCCGCGGUAAUACGUAGAGUGCUAACGUUGUUCGGAAUUACUGGGCAUAAAGAGCUUGUAGGCGGCUUGGUAAGUCGGUUGUGAAAGCCCCUGGCUCAACCAGGGAACUGCGGCCGAAACUGCCUCGCUUGAGUGUGAGAGGGGAGAGUGGAACUUCCAGUGGAGCGGUGAAAUGCGUAGAUAUUGGAAGGAACGCCGGCGGCGAAAGCGACUCUCUGGCCUGAUACUGACGCUGAGGUGCGAAAGCUAGGGGAGCAAACGGGAUUAGAUA